UUGGCUAUGCACAGAGCGUGAAGGAUUCAAACGCUCCCAUUUCAGGCAGAUUGGCCAACGAAAGCAGCAGCGGAGGUUGGUGGAGAUUGGGGAGAUAUGUCUGGAAGAGGCAGGGGUAGAGGAAGCCUGGAAAGAACACAGGAUGUAUGAAAACGACAGCUUUGAGGCUGCUCCACCUCUGCAAGUUUAGCCAAGGGUGAUUGCAAUUGGCUGAUGAUCGCCAGGGCAGACCUCUUCCUGGAAUCAGUUCAGCUCUUAGAACCCCCCAUGGGUGGCUGAUGGACAAAGCAAUAAAGCUGACUGCAUCCUGCUCCUUCCCAUGCCGUGGGGCCCUUUGCUGCUGGGGACCUGAAAGUAUUACAAAGCUCCCUGUGGAAGAGGUAGAGUCAGCAAUGGAAGCAGUUUGGGUCUGGACGUGGAAGCUGCCUGCCCACUCGGCACACCCACGUUGGACGAUUAGAUCAGCAAACAGCGGCUUAGAGUGUGAGUAAAUAUUUCCAAAGUACAACAGUCGGUGGUGAGCUUGUGAAGGAAUCGUGGCUUUCAAACUCUGAGACUAAUGCUUCUUCAGUUCACCAGGCUACGUCACCUGCUACCUGAGAGCAGUCAUUGUGGAAGCCUUCCCAUCUGCCUCUUGGUAAGGACUCUGAGGACCAAGACAAAGCUGUCCCCUGACCAAGGACAUUAUGUCACAUCUAGAAGGGAAGUCAACUGGGUCUUGAAUUAGGCUACCAGGACUGGAACUCCACCUCCGCUGCUCACCAGCCGUGUGACUCAGCACACAUUUAUGAGACUUUUUGUGUCUGUUUCCUAAUCCUUAAAAAAGGGGAUAACACUCAAGCCCAACUCACAGGGUUUUGUGAAUAUUAAAGGAAGUAGAAAAUGUUUGCUCAGUGCCAAAAACAAACAAACAAAAAAAAGUCAAUGUGUGUAUACGUUUUCUCACUCUAUUUGGAGCUAAUAUUAUAUUUAGUUACUAAUUUCUUUAGCGUAAAACCACCCAGAAUGAAACACGGAAGUUCUUAUGAAAGGCAAGAGUGAACACCUGUGAGCAUGAGUAUUCAUACACCAAAGAAGAGUUUUCAUACCAUACUUGUAACAUACCAAAGAAGACUGGAUAAUCCAAGAGAACAUCAAGAAAUGGCUCAUCAUAUUUGUUUUUCAAACAAAUGGAGAUUCAGAAUUAAGAAAUGAGACAAGAACAAAGAUGAAAAAUUAUACUCAACUGCUGUGAAGUCCAGUUCUCUAUUAGUAACUAGCUAUCCCAGAGUUAACCAAGGAGAAGGAACCAGACUAAGGCAACCCGUCUUUGCUACAGUUGAUUCCAUUACUCCCAUUGCCCCUAGCAUUUUUUUUUAAAGGGGAUUUUUUUAACAAGACUCAAUUCUAUUAAAAAUUGGGUGUCAUUUGGCCUUAAAAAUAAGCUAUGAAAUGCCCUCCCCCAAGCCAGAAAAAAAAUUAGCCAUCUCAUAAGAGUAUUCUUUUAAAAAGUUAAAUAAGUUUCUUACUGAUUAAUUUUUUAUGAACAUUUAAAAUUUUCCAUUAUGUAAAGG
rnacentral:lncRNA from 1 species